AAGAAAGUAAAUAAGGGCGCAUGGCGGAUGCCUUGGCUCUCGGAGGCGAUGAAGGACGUGAUAAGCUGCGAUAAGCUUCGGGUAGGUGCAAAUGACCUUUGAUCCGAAGAUUUCCGAAUGGGACAACCCGGCAUUCUGAAGGAAUGCCAUCCAACUUGGUUGGAGGCUAACGCAGGGAACUGAAACAUCUUAGUACCUGCAGGAAAAGAAAAUAAAUAAUGAUUCCCCUAGUAGUGGCGAGCGAACGGGGAUUAGCCCAAACCACCCAUGUUACGGCAUGUGUGGGGUUGUAGGACCACGCUCUCGCAAGACAGUUAUUGAGAAGAAACGACUGGAAAGUCGUGCCAUAGACGGUGAUAGCCCGGUAUUCUAAGGUAACCGAAGCGUAGUGGUAUCCUGAGUAGCGCGGAGCACGAGGAAUUCUGCGUGAACCAGCCGGGACCAUCCGGUAAGGCUAAAUACUCCCGAGAGACCGAUAGCGAACCAGUACUGUGAAGGAAAGGUGAAAAGCACUUCGAAUAGAAGAGUGAAAUAGUCCCUGAAACCAUGCGCCUACAAGCGGUCGGAGCAGCUUAAGUUGUGACGGCGUGCCUUUUGCAUAAUGAACCUACGAGUUACUUUUUCCGGCAAGGUUAAGCAUCUUGAGAUGUGGAUCCGAAGCGAAAGCGAGUCUGAACAGGGCGGAUAGUCGGAAGGAGUAGACGCGAAACCAAGUGAUCUACCCUUGGGCAGGUUGAAGGUUAGGUAACACUAACUGGAGGACCGAACCGAUAAGCGUUGAAAAGCUUCCGGAUGACCUGAGGGUGGGGGUGAAAGGCUAAUCAAACUUGGAGAUAGCUCGUACUCCCCGAAAUGCAUUUAGGUGCAGCCUUGAGAGUUACUAAUGUGAGGUAGAGCGACUGAUAAGAUGCGAGGGCUUCACCGCCUAUCAAGUCUUGAUAAACUCCGAAUGCGCAUUAGUUCUAUCUCAGGAGUGAGGGCAUGGGUGCUAAGGUCCAUGUCCUAAAGGAGAAGAAUCCAGACCAUCAGCUAAGGUCCCCAAAUAAACACUAAGUUGAACUAACGAAGUCAGAUUGCUAAGACAGCUAGGAUGUUGGCUUGGAAGCAGCCAUUCAUUUAAAGAGUGCGUAACAGCUCACUAGUCGAGGAGUUUGGCGUGGAUAAUAAUCGGGCAU
rnacentral:rRNA from 1 species